UAGGGAAUCUUCCACAAUGGGCGCAAGCCUGAUGGAGCAACGCCGCGUGAGUGAAGAAGGUCUUCGGAUCGUAAAGCUCUGUUGUAAGAGAAGAACGUGUGUGAGAGUGGAAAGUUCACACAGUGACGGUAACUUACCAGAAAGGGACGGCUAACUACGCGCCAG
rnacentral:rRNA from 1 species